ensembl:snRNA U6 U6 spliceosomal RNA
GUGCUCGAUUCAGCAGCACAUAUACUUAAAUUGGAACAAUACAGAGAAGAUUAGCAUGGCUCUUGCAUAAGGAUAACCUGCAAAUUCAUGAAGCAUUCCAUAUUUUU